rnacentral:misc_RNA from 1 species
GGGGAUGGGAUUGGACCUUGGACAGUUGGACGUAACAAACCGAUCGAGGAACAGACUAGUCAAGCUCAAGCACCACGCGUUGCCAGGUGCUGGUGCUGCUUCUUCCUGCAGCGGCGGGAGGAGGCGAGGAAGUCCGGCGCGCGCUCGUGCCCGGCGAAGACCUCCUCCCAGAUCUCGGCGAAGGCGCGGAGGAUGAGGUGGUGGUGGCGCGGCGAGUUGAGGGACAGGAACCGGUGCAGCAGCUCCCGGAGCUCCGCGCCGCCCACGAUCUCCUUCUCCACGAUCAUCUGCAGCAUGGACCGGCGGAAGUCGCCCAGCGGGUCCGCCGACUCCUUCACCACCGCCACGCUCUCCUCCACCCGCCCGGACCCGCCGCCGCCCUCGCUCACGGUCCGGCGGUGCCACUGCUUGCCGUCGGUGCUGCCGGCGGAGUGCAGGAAGCGGACGCUGCGCUCCAGCUCGUGGAGCUGGCGCAGGAGCGCCGACAGGCUGGGCGUGCUCUCCUCCAUGCUGCUGGGGCCGUCGUCGGCGGUGGUGGUGGUGGUGGUGGUGACGGACGAAGACGAGACCGAGAACGAGGAGGGAGCCGACGACGUUGUCGUCGCCGGCCUGCUCCCUCCUCUUCUCGUCGACUCGGUCGUGACGGUGGCGGUCGACGUGCCGGUGAGCGGAGUGGUUGACGCGGCGGUCUGCGGCGUGGCGGUUGGUGACUUGUCGGAGGAGCCAUCGGAGAUGGAGACAGCCUUGGUGCCGCCGCAGCCGCACAUGAAUAGGCGGGCCUUUUUGUUGAUGCACAGCCCGCCGCCGCUGGCACCGGCACCGCGCCGGCGCGACAUCAACACCCUCAUGGAAGGGCUUAUGCUCUGGCGGGGGCGGGGGCGAGGAGUGUGGCUGCGCUCGUUGGCUCGUGCAGUGGGUAUGUAUGUUGCGGAAGGAAAGGGCUGCCGUGGGCUGGGGCGAGGAACAGAGAGG